GCUUACGGCCAUACCACCCUGAACACGCCCGAUCUCGUCUGAUCUCGGAAGCUAAGCAGGGUCGGGCCUGGUUAGUACUUGGAUGGGAGACCGCCUGGGAAUACCAGGUGCUGUAAGCA
ensembl:rRNA 5S_rRNA 5S ribosomal RNA